rnacentral:rRNA from 1 species
UACAGAGAGUGCAAGCGUUGUUCGGAAUUACUGGGCGUAAAGGGCUCGUAGGCGGCCAACUAAGUCGGAUGUGAAAUCCCCAGGCUUAACCUGGGAACUGCAUCCGAUACUGGAUGGCUUGAAUCCGGGAGAGGGAUGCAGAAUUCCAGGUGUAGCGGUGAAAUGCGUAGAUAUCUGGAGGAAUACCAGUGGCGAAGGCGGCUUCUUGGCCUGUUCUUGACGCUGAGGCGCGAAAGCUGGGGGAGCAAACGGG